AUUGAACGCUGGCGGCAUGCUUUACACAUGCAAGUCGAACGGCAGCGCGGGCUUCGGCCUGGCGGCGAGUGGCGAACGGGUGAGUAAUAUAUCGGAACGUACCCAGAAGUGGGGGAUAACGUAGCGAAAGUUACGCUAAUACCGCAUACGAUCUAAGGAUGAAAGUGGGGGACCUUCGGGCCUCAUGCUUUUGGAGCGGCCGAUAUCUGAUUAGCUAGUUGGUGAGGUAAAGGCUCACCAAGGCGACGAUCAGUAGCUGGUCUGAGAGGACGACCAGCCACACUGGGACUGAGACACGGCCCAGACUCCUACGGGAGGCAGCAGUGGGGAAUUUUGGACAAUGGGGGCAACCCUGAUCCAGCAAUGCCGCGUGAGUGAAGAAGGCCUUCGGGUUGUAAAGCUCUUUUGUCAGGGAAGAAACGGUUCUAGCUAAUAUCUGGGGCUAAUGACGGUACCUGAAGAAUAAGCACCGGCUAACUACGUGCCAGCCGCCGCUGUAACAC
rnacentral:rRNA from 1 species